GACGAACGCUGGCGGCGUGCUUAACACAUGCAAGUCGAACGGAAAGGCCCUGCUUUUGUGGGGUGCUCGAGUGGCGAACGGGUGAGUAACACGUGAGUAACCUGCCCUUGACUUUGGGAUAACUUCAGGAAACUGGGGCUAAUACCGGAUAGGAGCUCCUGCUGCAUGGUGGGGGUUGGAAAGUUUCGGCGGUUGGGGAUGGACUCGCGGCUUAUCAGCUUGUUGGUGGGGUAGUGGCUUACCAAGGCUUUGACGGGUAGCCGGCCUGAGAGGGUGACCGGCCACAUUGGGACUGAGGUACGGCCCAGAAUCCUACGGGAGGCAGCAGUCGGGAAUAUCGCACAAUGGGCGGAAGCCUGAUGCAGCAACGCCGCGUGCGGGAUGACGGCCUUCGGGUUGUAAACCGCUUUCGCCUGUGACGAAGCGUGAGUGACGGUAAUGGGUAAAGAAGCACCGGCUAACUACGUG
rnacentral:rRNA from 1 species